rnacentral:miRNA from 1 species
CAGGAUAAAGUUGACUGUU